GCCCGUUGCCCUCUUUCUCUGUAUGUCACUCAUUUGCUAAUACUCAGGCAAAAAGUACCAAUUUGUAUGCUGAUGUGUCUUGUGUAUUUUUUUUACCUCUGUCUCUCUAUGACAGAGAAAUGUAUAUGCUCAAUAUUGCUGUUCAAACUGAUGCUCAAAUUACCAAGCACUACCUGAACGCCUCAUCGGUCUUUAACGAAUCACUGCACCAACUGUCGUCAUUCCGCUUUGCUCUCUGCUGUGGAACUUGACUGACAUCUGUGCUUUGCCUGGUAGGUGUGCACAUACUUGUGCAGAAGAACAAGGACCAGAUCUCCAGUCUUCUCUGUCACAUCCCAACCCCACAUCCCCUCUAUCCUCUGUCCUGCUCCACCUGUUGUCUCUGCCUUCUUUCCAUCUGUAUUUCACCCUGUGGUUUGUGAGAAAUUUUGCCAAACCAAGAAUCUUAUUGCGGUUUGAUUUCAAAGCCGUGUCUCUCCUGCUCUGUCUGUUCUCUCUGCUAAAUUUUCUCUCUACCUGUUUUUCACUCUUUGGCUUGCUGCUGAGAAAUGCACAAGCCAAUAAAGCAAUAAAGAGUGCAUAUUUUGCCUCAACCUUUGAACAAACUGAACAAACAAAGAAAACUCUACGGUUUGAUUUCAAAACCGUGUCUUUCCUGCUCUCUCUGUUCUCUCUGCUAAAUUUUCUCUCUACCU
ensembl:lncRNA